rnacentral:tRNA from 1 species
GGGGCUGUGGCUCAGUGGUAGAGCCACUGACAUGCAGAAAGUGCCAGGUUCAAGUCCCAGCAUCUCCA